rnacentral:rRNA from 1 species
AGAGGGAAGAGCCCAAGAUUGAAAGCUGGCGUCUUCGGCGUCCGCAUUGUAAUCUCAAGAAGUGUUUUCCGCUUCGGACCAUGCCUAAGUCCCUUGGAAAAGGGCAUCAUAGAGGGUGAUAAUCCCGUACAUGGCAUGGAGCGCCCGAAGCUUUGUGAUACGCUUUCUAAGAGUCGAGUUGUUUGGGAAUGCAGCUCAAAAUGGGUGGUAAAUGCCAUCUAAGGCUAAAUAUUGGGGAGAGACCGAUAGCGAACAAGUACAGUGAUGGAAAGAUGAAAAGAACUUUGAAAAGAGAGUUAAACAGUACGUGAAAUUGCCAAAAGGGAAGGGUAGGAGGUCAGAGAUGCGGCCUGGGAUUCAGCCUUGCUUUUGCUUGGUGUUUUUCCCAGAUUGCAGGCCAACGUCGGUUUUGGGCACUGGAGAAGGGUAGGAGGAACGUGGCACCUCUCGGGGUGUGUUAUAGCCUCCUACUGGAUACAGCGACCGAGACCGAGGACAGCAGCGUACUCGCAAGAGCGGGCCUUCGGGCACCUUUACGCUUAGGGCGUUGGCAUAAUGGCCCUCUACCAC